rnacentral:rRNA from 1 species
GAUGAACGCUGGCGGCGUGCCUAAUACAUGCAAGUCGAGCGAACAGAUAAGGAGCUUGCUCCUUUGACGUUAGCGGCGGACGGGUGAGUAACACGUGGGUAACCUACCUAUAAGACUGGGAUAACUUCGGGAAACCGGAGCUAAUACCGGAUAACAUUUGGAACCGCAUGGUUCUAAAGUGAAAGAUGGUUUUGCUAUCACUUAUAGAUGGACCCGCGCCGUAUUAGCUAGUUGGUAAGGUAACGGCUUACCAAGGCGACGAUACGUAGCCGACCUGAGAGGGUGAUCGGCCAGACUGGAACUGAGACACGGCCCAGACUCCUACGGGAGGCAGCAGUAGGGAAUCUUCCGCAAUGGGCGAAAGCCUGACGGAGCAACGCCGCGUGAGUGAUGAAGGGUUUCGGCUCGUAAAACUCUGUUAUUAGGGAAGAACAAAUGUGUAAGUAACUGUGCACGUCUUGACGGUACCUAAUCAGAAAGCCACGGCUAACUACGUG